rnacentral:rRNA from 1 species
GUGAACGCUGGCGGCGUGCUAACACAUGCAAGUCGAACGGAGUACCUCGCUGAGGAGAGCUUGCUCAAAUCGUUGAGGUAACUUAGUGGCGGACGGGUGAGUAACGCGUGGGUAACCUGCCGAUGCUGGGGGACAACAGUUGGAAACGACUGUUAAUACCGCAUAAGCGCACAGAUAGGCAUCUAUCAGUGUGAAAAACUCCGGUGGCAUACGAUGGACCCGCGUCUGAUUAGCCAGUUGGCGGUGUAACGGACCACCAAAGCGACGAUCAGUAGCCGGCCUGAGAGGGUGAACGGCCACAUUGGGACUGAGACACGGCCCAAACUCCUACGGGAGGCAGCAGUGGGGAAUAUUGGACAAUGGGGGAAACCCUGAUCCAAGCGACGCCGCGUGAGUGAAGAAGUAUUUCGGUAUGUAAAGCUCUAUCAGCAGGAAAGAAAAUGACGGUACCUGACUAAGAAGCCCCGGCUAACUACGUGCCAGCAGCAGC